CUGUCGUCAGCUCGUGUCGUGAGAUGUUGGGUUAAGUCCCGCAACGAGCGCAACCCUCAUCCUUAGUUGCCAUCAGGUAAUGCUGAGUACUUUAAGGAAACUGCCAGUGAUAAGCUGGAGGAAGGUGGGGAUGAUGUCAAGUCAUCAUGGCCUUUAUGGAGUGGGCUACACACGUGCUACAAUGGUGUCUACAAUGGGCUGCAAGGUGCGCAAGCCUAAGCUAAUCCCUAAAAGACAUCUCAGUUCGGAUUGUACUCUGCAACUCGAGUACAUGAAGUUGGAAUCGCUAGUAAUCGUGGAUCAGCAUGCCACGGUGAAUACGUUCUCGGGUCUUGUACACACUGCCCGUCACGCCAUGGGAAUUGAC
rnacentral:rRNA from 1 species